rnacentral:rRNA from 1 species
AUUGAACUCUGGCGGCAUGCCUUACACAUGCAAGUCGAACGGCAGCGGGGACUUCGGUCCGCCGGCGAGUGGCGAACGGGUGAGUAAUGUAUCGGAACGUACCAUUGAGUGGGGGAUAACGUAGCGAAAGUUACGCUAAUACCGCAUAUUCUCUCCGGAGGAAAGCAGGGGACCGCAAGGCCUUGCGCUCUUUGAGCGGCCGAUAUCAGAUUAGCUAGUUGGUGAGGUAAAAGCUCACCAAGGCGACGAGCUGUAGCGGGUGUGAGAGGAGGAUCCGCCACACUGGAACUGAGACACGGUCCAGACUCCUACGGGAGGCAGCAGUGGGGAAUUUUGGACAAUGGGGGCAACCCUGAUCCAGCCAUGCCGCGUGAGUGAAGAAGGCCUUCGGGUUGUAAAGCUCUUUCGGCCGGGAAAAAAUCGCAUGGGUUAAUACCCUGUGUGGAUGAUGGUACCGGAAUAAGAAGCACCGGCUAACUACGUGCCAGCAGCCGCGGUAACAC